rnacentral:rRNA from 1 species
CUUAUGCCGGCGACCGGCGGACGGGUGCGUAACGCGUAUGUAACCUACCUUUGACAGGGGGAUAACAUCGAGAAAUUGGUACUAAUACCCCAUAACAUCACCGGAGGCAUCUUCGGUGGUUGAAAACUCAGGUGGUCAGAGAUGGACAUGCGUUGUAUUAGCUAGUUGGUGAGGUAACGGCUCACCAAGGCGACGAUACAUAGGGGGACUGGGAGGUCAACCCCCCACAUUGGUACUGAGACACGGACCAAACUCCUACGGGAGGCAGCAG